AAGUCGUAACAAGGUUUCCGUAGUGGAACCUGCGGAAGGAUCAUUAUCGAAACAAGAACGCCCAGGAGGGGGGGAGCGUCGACGGUCCGAGACUGUCGCUGCCCUCGCGGGCGUGCACGUCCCUCGCCGUCGCUCUUUCGACCCCUCCABAGGCUUCGACCUUCUCUACACCCGUGUGCACCUGCUGUAGUUCCUUCGGGAGCUACGUCUCCCUUUCGACUCGCAUGUCAUACAGAACGUGUUCGUCGCGUCCCGGCCUUGAACCCUCAGGGUCCCGCGUCGGCGAUCGCAAAACCAUGCAGUACAACUUUCAGCAACGGAUCUCUUGGCUCUCGCGACUCGAUGAAGAACGCAGCGAAUCGCGAUAAGUAAUGUGAAUUGCAGAUUUUCCGUGAAUCAUCCGAAUCUUUGAACGCACCUUGGCGCUCCAUUGGUAUUCCCGAGGAGCUGCCUGUUAUGAGUGUCGUCGAAAUCUCAAGUCGAGCCUUUGACCCCCCGUCCGGAGCCCUACGACUUGCGACUUUAUGGGAGCUGACCGGCGAAGCGUGCCUUCGUCGGCUCUCCUCAAAAGCAAUUAGCGAUAGGGACGACGAGCCUGGCAUGGCACGGCCUCUUCGACGUCGUAAUGAUCGUCGUGGGCUGGAAGUGCACGGCUCGACGAAACCCCUCCAUGCUUUGCGAGUCUUGCGAGCUCCGUAUGUGCGGGACGCCACACCACCCAUCGAAGCUUGUCCUCAAAUUCAGGUAGGACUACCCGCCCAACUUAAGCAUCAAU
rnacentral:rRNA from 1 species